AGCUUUUUGUGGUUCAUAAACAUCAUGAUUGGGUUUUCAUGCUCACAUGUGAGAUGUGCCUCCUUUAAACCUUGUUAUAAUGUUGGCACAUUACCCAUCUGUUG
ensembl:snoRNA